rnacentral:sRNA from 1 species
UGAGGCAGGGUGAGAACCCUCGUGGGUUCGAGUCGAGCGUAGCGAGACAACGUCGGAGCUUGCGACGACGGCCCGAAGGGCGCAAGUCAUCCCUCCCUCACCGCC